rnacentral:rRNA from 1 species
UACGAAGGGGGCAAGCGUUGUUCGGAAUUACUGGGCGUAAAGGGCGCGUAGGCGGCCUGCUAAGUCGAACGUGAAAUCCCUGGGCUCAACCCAGGAACUGCGUCCGAUACUGGUUGGCUUGAAUCCGGGAGAGGGAUGUGGAAUUCCAGGUGUAGCGGUGAAAUGCGUAGAUAUCUGGAGGAACACCGGUGGCGAAGGCGACAUCCUGGACCGGUAUUGACGCUGAGGCGCGAAAGCCAGGGGAGCAAACGGG